AGCACCUGGGUGUGCUCACUCGCACUGGUUCUACGGAAGCACAACAAAAAAUGCUUAGCCUUCAAAUUCGUCUCCCACUUAAUUUCCACACCCCUUCUCUACUCUCUACCCGCGCUCCCAACUCUCUCUCUUGCCGCGCCGCUUCCACAAAAUCCGACCCGGAGCCAGCCAAGCCGAAGCCCCGGCGCCGCAAGACCGCACCCGCCGGAAAUGAAACCGAACAAAAGCCCCUCCCUUUCUCCAUUCCGAAGAAGCCGCCGCGCCGCGGGCGGAGGAGCGAGGCUGCGGCGGUGGAGGACUACGUGAGGGACUCACUCAACCGGACGUUCGCCGCAAUCCAGGAGCAGAAUCCGGAGAUUUUCGAAGCCAAGGCGGAGCUGAUGAAGAAGAAAGCUGCCGCCGCUGACGACGGCGACGAGGAGGAUGAUGAGGAGAGUGAGGAGGAGGAGGCGGCGGCGGUGGUGGAGGAGGAGACGGAGAAUUGGCCGUUGGAUGCGGAGGUGGGAUGGGGGAUUAGGGCGUCGGAGUAUUUCGAGAAGCAUGGGAUCCGAAACGUGGUGGAUGAAAAUGGAGAUGAGAUUGAUUGGGAGGGAGAGGUUGAAGAUAAUUGGGUGAAGGAGAUUAACUGCUUGGAGUGGGAAAGCUUUGCUUUUCAUCCAAGCCCUCUUAUUGUGUUUGUGUUUGAGAGAUAUAACAGAGCUGGUGAGAAUUGGAAGGCUUUGAAGGAGCUUGAGAAGGCUGUCAAGGUGUAUUGGGACGCCAAGGAGCGGCUGCCUCCCAGGUCUGUGAAGAUUGAUAUUAAUAUCGAGAGGGAUUUGGCGUAUGCUCUGAAGGUUAGAGAGUGUCCUCAGGUUUUGUUUUUGAGAGGGAACAGGAUAUUGUACAGAGAGAAAGAGAUUCGGACGUCCGAUGAAUUGGUUGCGAUGAUUGCGCAUUUCUACUACAAUGCAAAGAGGCCGUCCUGGAUUGAUGUGAAGGAGUUAACUCUGCCGUACAAGUGACAUUCUGGCUUCUAAUUGUAUGCUGAUGACACCACGUGCGAGCAUUGGUUUGCUCAGACGUAGGCAGCGUGGAGCACCGGAGAGUAGGUCGCAUUUGCAGUACAAAACUGGGUAUCUAAAUCAUCCAGGUGAUGAGCAGCCUGUAUGUGUAGGAGGGUAGCAUUUUGGGACUGUUCUCAUGAUCAAGAGAGCUGUCGAGUAUGCAAUAACAAGUACUGGGGGUGUGGAAUCUGCUAUCUUAAGCGCAUAACAAGCUAGUUCUGUGGUGGCACUAUGAUUGCUACGCGUGGGAUAUUGCAUGGAUUUGGCUGACUCCCUAAGAUGCAUAAUCAAACCCGACAAGAUCAGUCCCCCUUUGUGUAACUCUUCAUUGUGCUCUCGCCGUUUUUGCUUGGAUUAGUGUUACUGAUCUAUUGUAGAUUAAGAUUAAAGUAGUAAGUAAGCAACCCAACAGCAACCAGCAGGUUCAUCAUGCCUUUGGUCAUUACUGCCCACCCCCACCCUACACAGUACACACCCCAAAAGAAAGAUAAGCACUCCCCCAUUUAAUUCAGUCAGUCCCAACUUGAUUACCUUUCUGAUUCUUCAUCGAUUUUUCAGUUUCAGAUUCUUCUCGAUCUUAGGUUACUGUUCUUGAGGGAUUUUAAGCUAGUGAUUGAAUCAAAGGUUCGUUGGAGAAAUUCUUAUCUUAGGUUACUGCUCGACCGCUGAAUGAGCGGCCAACUCAGCUUAUCGGUCUCGCAGUCGCAUUUGCAAGGGAAGUAAAACGUAUAGGUCUGAAUAAAUUGCGGGCACUGUGGGUUUUAAGGUUCAGAAUUUUCCAGUUACAGAUCAAUUAGCCAAUAGGUAAUCAAUUGUGUGCGAUUUUGUAUUUUCUUGAAUAAUUGGACCAAAAAGUCUAAAUUUGAAUCUAGAGAUACGAU